GCUCAGGACGAACGCUGGCGGCGUGCCUAAUACAUGCAAGUAGGACGCUGACAUUUAGUGCUUGCACUAGAUGGAGGAGUUGCGAACGGGUGAGUAACGCGUAGGUAACCUGCCUGGUAGCGGGGGAUAACUAUUGGAAACGAUAGCUAAUACCGCAUAAGAGUCAGUAACACAUGUUAGUGAUUUAAAAGGUGCAGCUGCAUCACUACCAGAUGGACCUGCGUUGUAUUAGCUAGUUGGUAGGGUAAAGGCCUACCAAGGCGACGAUACAUAGCCGGCCUGAGAGGGUGAACGGCCACACUGGGACUGAGACACGGCCCAGACUCCUACGGGAGGCAGCAGUAGGGAAUCUUCGGCAAUGGGGGGGACCCUGACCGAGCAACGCCGCGUGAGUGAAGAAGGUUUUCGGAUCGUAAAGCUCUGUUGUAAGAGAAGAACGUUGAUGAGAGUGGAAAGUUCAUCAAGUGACGGUAACUUACCAGAAAGGGACGGCUAACUACGUGCCAGCAGCCGCGGUAAUACGUAGGUCCCGAGCGUUGUCCGGAUUUAUUGGGCGUAAAGCGAGCGCAGGCGGUUUAGAAAGUCUGAAGUUAAAGGCAGUGGCUUAACCAUUGUAUGCUUUGGAAACUGCUAGGCUUGAGUGCAGAAGGGGAGAGUGGAAUUCCAUGUGUAGCGGUGAAAUGCGUAGAUAUAUGGAGGAACACCGGUGGCGAAAGCGGCUCUCUGGUCUGUAACUGACGCUGAGGCUCGAAAGCGUGGGUAGCGAACAGGAUUAGAUACCCUGGUAGUCCACGCCGUAAACGAUGAGUGCUAGGUGUUGGGUCCUUUCCGGGACUCAGUGCCGACGCAAACGCAUUAAGCACUCCGCCUGGGGAGUACGACCGCAAGGUUGAAACU
rnacentral:rRNA from 1 species